UACGUAGGCAGCGAGCGUUGUUCGGAUUCAUUGGGCGUAAAGGGUGCGUAGGCGGUCUGCUAAGUUUGAUGUGAAAUCCCGGGGCUCAACCCUGGAAUGGCAUUGAAUACUGGUGGACUAGAGUACUGGAGAGGAAACUGGAAUUUACGGUGUAGCAGUGAAAUGCGUAGAGAUCGUAAGGAAGACCAGUGGCGAAGGCGAGUUUCUGGACAGUAACUGACGCUGAGGCACGAAGGCCAGGGGAGCAAACGGG
rnacentral:rRNA from 1 species